AUACGGAGGGUCCAAGCGUUAUCCGGAAUCAUUGGGUUUAAAGGGUCCGCAGGCGGUCAAUUAAGUCAGAGGUGAAAGCCCAUCGCUCAACGAUGGAACUGCCUUUGAUACUGGUUGACUUGAGUUAUACGGAAGUAGAUAGAAUAAGUAGUGUAGCGGUGAAAUGCAUAGAUAUUACUUAGAAUACCGAUUGCGAAGGCAGUCUACUACGUAUAUACUGACGCUAAGGGACGAAAGCGUGGGGAGCGAACAGGAUUAGAAACCCUAGUAGUCC
rnacentral:rRNA from 1 species